rnacentral:rRNA from 1 species
AUGACAUGCAAUCCCUACUGGGAGGAGAUAACUAAGGAAUUAUUGCCUGGACAACUGCCGCAAGACCGUCCAGACCUUGUGGCAAGAGUAUAUAGAGCUAAACAUCGAAGUAUGAUGGACCUACUAAUUAAGGGUAAGCAUUUCGGAGAAGUUGCGGCUUAUGUACAUGUCACCGAGUUUCAGAAACGAGGUCUCCCUCAUGAGCAUAUACUUUUAAUCAUGAAAGCCAAAAGCAAGUUAAGGACCCCAGAUGACUAUGACCGGGUCAUAUCUGCAGAGAUACCCAACAAGAAGAAAUACCCUGUUCUCCAUGAUCUGGUAGUCAAACACAUGUUGCACGGACCAUGUGGUGUGCUGAAGAAGAGUUGCCCUUGCAUGAUAGAUGGACAAUGUCGGUUUCAUUACCCACGAGAUUUCUGUGAUGCCACAUUACAAGGGAAAGAUUCAUAUCCGAUCUACAGACGAAGGUGGGUUCGAGUUAGGAUCAGAGGAGCAGAUUUGGACAACAGAUGGGUGGUCCCUUACAACCCCUUCCUGCUAAUGACAUACAACUGUCACAUUAAUGUCAAAGCAUGCUCGAGCAUCAAGGCAGUCAAGUACUUAUUCAAGUACAUCUACAAAGGGCAUGAUAAGGCAUCAUUUGCAUUCAAGCAAGAUAUUAUCAAGGAUGAGGGAAUCAUCAACGAAAUCCGACAGUAUAGGGAUGCACGCUAUAUAUCUCCUCAGGAAGCUAUUUACAGGAUAUUUGGCUUUAAAAUGUUUGGUGUCAGUCCAUCUGUGUUGCAGCUCCAACUUCAUCUGCCAAACAUGCAUACAGUUGCAUUUAGGGCUUAUGAAAAUCUGGAAGAUGUUGUUACUCGGCCAUCUUCUUCCAAAUCCAUGCUUACCGAGUACUUUGAGAUGAACCAAAAGUAUCCAGAGGCACGGAAAUGGCUGUACAGAGAGAUCCCAGAACAUUAUAGGUGGAUUACCGGUAAUAAGAAGUGGCGACUGAGAAAAAAUAAUAGACCACAAAUAGGAAGACUGGUGUAUGCACACCCUGCUGAAGGAGAGAGGUACUACUUGCGGGUGCUCCUCAGCCAUGUCCGAGGUGCCACUUCAUUUGAUGAUUUAAAAACAGUGAAUGGCAAUCCAUGCAGUUCCUUCAGAGAGGCAUGUGAGCACUUAGGACUCAUUGAGCAUGAUUAG